rnacentral:rRNA from 1 species
UACAUAGGGGGCAAGCGUUAUCCGGAAUUAUUGGGUGUAAAGGGUGCGUAGACGGAGAAACAAGUUGGUUGUGAAAUCCCUCAGCUCAACCGAGGAACUGCAACCAAAACUAUUUCCCUUGAGUGUCGGAGAGGAAAGUGGAAUUCCUAGUGUAGCGGUGAAAUGCGUAGAUAUUAGGAGGAACACCAGUGGCGAAGGCGACUUUCUGGACGAUAACUGACGUUGAGGCACGAAAGUGUGGGGAGCAAACAGG